rnacentral:rRNA from 1 species
UUAUCCUACGGGACGCAGCAGUGGGGAAUAUUGGGCAAUGGGCGCAAGCCUGACCCAGCAACGCCGCGUGAAGGAAGAAGGCUUUCGGGUUGUAAACUUCUUUUCUCAGGGACGAAGAAAGUGACGGUACCUGAGGAAUAAGCCACGGCUAACUACGUGCCAGCAGCCGCGGUAAUACGUAGGUGGCAAGCGUUAUCCGGAUUUACUGGGUGUAAAGGGCGAGUAGGCGGGAAAGCAAGUCAGAUGUGAAAACCAUGGGCUCAACGUGUGGCCUGCAUUUGAAACUGUU